UGGCAAAAGAGCGACUAUAAUGUCCGUCGAGCGACGGACGAGAAGCUUGCUUCUCUGAUGUUAGCGGCGGACGGGUGAGUAACACGUGGAUAACCUACCUAUAAGACUGGGAUAACUUCGGGAAACCGGAGCUAAUACCGGAUAAUAUUUUGAACCGCAUGGUUCAAAAGUGAAAGACGGUCUUGCUGUCACUUAUAGAUGGAUCCGCGCUGCAUUAGCUAGUUGGUAAGGUAACGGCUUACCAAGGCAACGAUGCAUAGCCGACCUGAGAGGGUGAUCGGCCACACUGGAACUGAGACACGGUCCAGACUCCUACGGGAGGCAGCAGUAGGGAAUCUUCCGCAAUGGGCGAAAGCCUGACGGAGCAACGCCGCGUGAGUGAUGAAGGUCUUCGGAUCGUAAAACUCUGUUAUUAGGGAAGAACAUAUGUGUAAGUAACUGUGCACAUCUUGACGGUACCUAAUCAGAAAGCCACGGCUAACUACGUGCCAGCAGCCGCGGUAAUACGUAGGUGGCAAGCGUUAUCCGGAAUUAUUGGGCGUAAAGCGCGCGUAGGCGGUUUUUUAAGUCUGAUGUGAAAGCCCACGGCUCAACCGUGGAGGGUCAUUGGAAACUGGAAAACUUGAGUGCAGAAGAGGAAAGUGGAAUUCCAUGUGUAGCGGUGAAAUGCGCAGAGAUAUGGAGGAACACCAGUGGCGAAGGCGACUUUCUGGUCUGUAACUGACGCUGAUGUGCGAAAGCGUGGGGAUCAAACAGGAUUAGAUACCCUGGUAGUCCACGCCCUAAACGAUGAGUGCUAAGUGUUA
rnacentral:rRNA from 1 species